GACGAACGCUGGCGGCGUGCUUAACACAUGCAAGUCGAACGGAAAGGCCCUGCUUUUGUGGGGUGCUCGAGUGGCGAACGGGUGAGUAACACGUGAGUAACCUGCCCUUGACUUUGGGAUAACUUCAGGAAACUGGGGCUAAUACCGCAUAGGAGCUCCUGCUGCAUGGUGGUGGUUGGAAAGUUUCGGCGGUUGUGGAUGGACUCGCGGCUUAUCAGCUUGUUGGUGGGGUAGUGGCUUACCAAGGCUUUGACGGGUAGCCGGCCUGAGAGGGUGACCGGCCACAUUGGGACUGAGAUACGGCCCAGACGCGUACGGGAGGCAGAAGUGGGGAAUAUUGCACAAUGGGCGGAAGCCUGAUGCAGCAACGCCGCGUGCGGGAUGACGGCCUUCGGGUUGUAAACCGCUUUCGCCUGUGACGAAGCGUGAGUGACGGUAAUGGGUAAAGAAGCACCGGCUAACUACGUG
rnacentral:rRNA from 1 species